rnacentral:rRNA from 1 species
CCUACGGGGCGCUGCAGUCGAGUAUCAUUCACAAUGGGGGAAACCCUGAUGGUGCGACGCCGCGUGGGGGAAUGAAGGUCUUCGGAUUGUAAACCCCUGUCAUGUGGGAGCAAAUUAAAAAGAUAGUACCACAAGAGGAAGAGACGGCUAACUCUGUGCCAGCAGCCGCGGUAAUACAGAGGUCUCAAGCGUUGUUCGGAAUCACUGGGCGUAAAGCGUGCGUAGGCUGUUUCGUAAGUCGUGUGUGAAAGGCGCGGGCUCAACCCGCGGACGGCAGAUGAUACUGCGAGACUAGAGUAAGGGAGGGGGAACGGGAAUUCGCGGUGUAGCAGGGAAAGGCGGAGA